UUCCGGUUGAUCCUGCCGGAGGCUACCGCUAUUGGAGUUCGAUUAAGCCAUGCGAGUCGAGAGUCUUAGGGACUCGGCGUACCGCUCAGUAACACGUGAGUAACCUGCCCUAUGCUGGGGAAUAACCUCGGGAAACUGAGAAUAAUACCCCAUAGUUCACCACGCCUGGAACGGUGGGUGGAUGAAAGCUCCGGCGGCAUAGGAUGGGCCUGCGACGUAUCAGGUUGUAGGGGGUGUAACGUACCCUCUAGCCAUCAACGCGUACGGGUGUUGGGAGACAUAGCCCGGAGAUGGAUUCUGAGACACGAAUCCAGACCCUACGGGGUGCAGCAGGCGCGAAAACUUGGCAAUGCGAGCAAUCGUGACCAGGGAACUCCAAGUGGCUGGGGUAAUACCCAGUUUUUUCUUGACUCUUCAAAGGUCUUGGAAUAAGGGGUGGGUAAGGACGGUGCCAGCCGCCGCGGUAAUACCGGCGCCUCAAGUGGUAGUCGCUUUUAUUGGGCCUAAAACGUCCGUAGCCGGUCUGGUGCAUUCGUGGGUAAAUCAACCCGCUCAACGGGUUGAAUUCUGCGAGCACGGCCAGACUUGGGACCGGGAGAGGUGUGGGGUACUCUCAGGGUAGGGGUAAAAUCCUGUCAUCCUGAGAGGACCACCUGUU
rnacentral:rRNA from 1 species